rnacentral:rRNA from 1 species
GUCUACGGCCACGCCACCCUGAACGAGCCUGAUGUCUGAUCUCGGAAGCUAAGCAGGGUCGGGCCUGGUGAGUACUUGGAUGGGAGACCACCUAGGAAGACCAGGUGCUGCUGUAG